GUGCCGGGCCGGCAUCGGAAGGGACGGCGGGCCCCGGGCCAGGCGGCGGGCGGGCGGGCCGGACCUUGCUGAGCGCCCGCCGCCCUCCCUCGCGGGUUGAGACUCGGAGGAAGUGGCCUCCCGCCUCUCGCCACGCAUUGUUUUUGCUUUAAAAAGCGGGUCGGCUGCCCCUCAUUCCCUGGUCGGGUGUGGCCGAAAGGCGGCUUCCGAAGCGCGGUGGUGUGAAUGCCGCUGCUUAGCCGGGGGCCCGGUGGGGACAGGCAUUCCUAGACCUGGUCCCCGGGCUCCAUACGCGGCCAGCCAGUGACCUUAGUUUUCCACACUCGAGUUAGGCGGGGACCGGGGAGGGGGACGGUGAAUGGGUUUUGGGGGUUCCUGGCCACAUGUAGGCCUGGUGGCAGGGUCUCUGGACGCCGAAUACAAGCAGAACAGCCCACGAGAAGUGGCUCCUUGUGGGUUCGCCGGAGUUUUACAAAGGGCUGCUUUCCUUUUUCUCUAGGGAGUUUGCUAGAGACCGAGCACCUGGGAGGGCGUUCUGGGGUCUCAGCUCUUGGGUGGCCUCGGAUGGUGAGGCGGUCCGGCCUUUGACAGCAGGAGGUAGGAGUGGGUCGCUGACAAGCAGGGAUGAGCAGAAGAGGGUAUUUGUUCCUUAAUCCAGGAAGGAAGGGGACUGCCAGCCUGUGAACGUGGGCCAGAAUAACACCGUCACCGUCCAGACCGAGGUGGAGAGGAGACGCUGGCCCCAGCAGGUGAGGUGUUACCCCCCCCCCGCCUCCUUGCUGGGGGUCGGGGGGGUGGCUGUGCCCCUCAGACGCCGGGCCUCCCGGCACCACAGACACAGCUGCUCUGCUGCACCUGUGAUGUUGGGGCAAAGAGGAAGCGGCUAUUUCUACGCUCAGUGCUCAGAACCGUGGGCACUAAGAAUGGUUUGUAGCCGAACAUGCCUGCCAGCUGCCGCAGGCGGUGCUUACGCGCCACAGGUAGACCUGCCUCCGGGCUUCUAGCGGGAACGCCGAGCAGGGCGCCAGCCGCUUUGCUCUUCGGGUUCUCGUGUGUAAGAUGACCUUCAUCAUGGGGGGCGCAUGGAGGCGAGCGUGUGGCCAGCCUUUGGCCCGCUGGGACUGACCAGGAGAGGGUCUCCCUCUUGGAAGCGAUCGUUCUGUAGGUCUGUCUGGGGAGGGCUUUCUGGAGGUCUUUGGGCGAGUGUGUUUUGCACUCCGGCUGCUCCGAGUGGCUGGGGCUUCUAAGCCCUGCGCCCCCACACCCUGCUCUAAGGACCCUUGAGACAGCAGAGCAGGAGGUGGGCCCGGAGGGCGGGUGGGGGAACACCAGAGGGCCACACCUGGCUUUGUCCUGCCAAGGAGACGCCGCAGUGCCACCUAGAACCCUAUACGUGAUCCUCCAGACCAGCGUGCUGGCGAGUGGAGGGGAGCGGUCUGGGUAAACCGCACUCGGGUAGCAGUUGUGACAAGGGCUGUCCUGCCUUGUUUUCAGGCGGAGAGCCCAGCCGGCCCAGCCAGGCGAGAUCCAGGCCGUCCGCUCAGGGCGAGACACUCCCUGAUACAAAGCAGAGAAGUAGCAAGGUAUUUUGCAUUGCUUUCUGAAACGCUUGUGCAGAGUGUUGGCGUGUUGGAAAGCAGUCCUGUGUUGUGGGUCUGCGGGGCGAGGCGGGGAGUGUUGAACUGUUCAUUGGGUCCCCUCUGACUCCAAAAAAUCCAAGAAAAGUAAACGCGAUUGAGAGCACAGACAAGGGGUCAAGGUACAUCGGGGGGCCAGGGCCUCCACUUUUGAUGCAGCGAUUGUUGGCGCAGAGCAGCCUCGCCUCUGCUUUCGGAGGAGGAGCCCCCGCUCGGAGGCCGCCCCCGCGCGGGUGUCUCAGGUACUCAUUCUUCCUUCCCGGCCACUGCGUCCCGCGGGGAGCAGAGGUUUCGAACUGCCCGGAGUCUGUGAUUCUAAACUGCUGCUUGUGCCGCGUGUGGACUAUUUCCCCUGCACACAAGGGAGGAAAACCCGGACAGGAG